rnacentral:rRNA from 1 species
GUGCCAGCCGCCGCGGUAAUACAGAGGUCCCAAGCGUUGUUCGGAUUUACUGGGCGUAAAGGGUGCGUAGGCGGCGAGGAAAGUUUGAGGUGAAAUCUCCAGGCUCAACUUGGAAAAUGCCUUGAAGACUUCCUUGCUCGAGGGUCGUAGAGGAGACUGGAAUUCUCGGUGUAGCAGUGAAAUGCGUAGAUAUCGAGAGGAACACCAGUGGCGAAAGCGGGUCUCUGGACGACACCUGACGCUGAGGCACGAAAGCCAGGGGAGCAAACGGGAUUAGAAACCCGCGUAGUCC